rnacentral:rRNA from 1 species
UACAGAGGGGCAAGCGUUAUUCGGAAUUAUUGGGCGUAAAGGGCGCGUAGGCGGCUUUGCAAGUGGCGGGUGAAAUCCCGGGGCUCAACCUCGGAACUGCCCUUGAAACUGCAGUGCUAGAAUCUUGGAGAGGCGAGUGGAAUUCCGAGUGUAGAGGUGAAAUUCGUAGAUAUUCGGAAGAACACCAGUGGCGAAGGCGACUCGCUGGACAGUUACUGACACUGAGGCACGAAGGCCAGGGGAGCAAACGGG